GACGAACGCUGGCGGCGUGCUUAACACAUGCAAGUCGAACGGAAAGGCCUGCUUUCCCUUGUGGUUUGCGGGUACUCGAGUGGCGAACGGGUGAGUAACACGUGAGUGAUCUGCCCCCAACUUGGGUAUAAGCCUGGGAAACUGGGUCUAAUUCCCGAUAGGACUGCAGGGUGGUGCCUGUGGUGGAAAACGAUUUGCUAGUGGUUGGGGAUGAGCUCGAGGCCUAUGAGCUUGUUGGUGGGGUAAUGGCCGGCCAAGGCGGCGACGGGGAGCCGGCGUGGGAGGGUGGACGGCCGCAUUGGGACUGGGACACGGCCCAGACGCCUACCGGAAGCAGCAGUGGGGAAUAAUGCACAGUGGGCGGGAGCCUGAUGCAGCGACGCCGCGUGGGGGAUGACGGCCUUCGGGUUGUAAACUCCUUGCGACCGCGAGGAAGCCACCUGGUUGGAAGGGUGGUGACGGUAGUGGUAGAAGAAGCACCGGCUAACUACGUG
rnacentral:rRNA from 1 species